GACGAACGCUGGCGGCGUGCUUAACACAUGCAAGUCGAACGCUGAAGCUCAGCUUUUGUUGGGUGGAUGAGUGGCGAACGGGUGAGUAACACGUGAGUAACCUGCCUCCUUCUUUGGGAUAACGCCCGGAAACGGGUGCUAAUACUGGAUAUUCACUGGUCUUCGCAUGGGGGUUGGUGGAAAGGGGUUUUCUGGUGGGGGAUGGGCUCGCGGCCUAUCAGCUUGUUGGUGGGGUGAUGGCCUACCAAGGCUUUGACGGGUAGCCGGCCUGAGAGGGUGACCGGUCACAUUGGGACUGAGAUACGGCCCAGACUCCUACGGGAGGCAGCAGUGGGGAAUAUUGCGCAAUGGGCGCAAGCCUGAUGCAGCGACGCCGCGUGAGGGAUGGAGGCCUUCGGGUUGUGAACCUCUUUCGCUCAUGGUCAAGCCGCAACAAUGGUUGUGGUGAGGGUAGUGGGUAAAGAAGCGCCGGCUAACUACGUG
rnacentral:rRNA from 1 species